rnacentral:rRNA from 1 species
UCGAGCGAAACUAUGUUUGAACGUUUCUGCGAUUACAUCAAGGGGACGGGAUUAUAUAGUUUAGCGGCAGACGAGUUAGUAUUACCUUGGUACAUACCCCGAAGUCAGGUAUAGCUCGCCGAAAGGCGGGGUAAUCCCUGAUAGUCUAGCAAUAGUAAAGUCGCAAGACGCUUUGGGAGUGACCUAGGUCCUAUCAGCUUGUUGGUGAGGUAACGGCCCACCAAGGCUAUGACGGGUAGGGGGUGUGAGAGCACGACCCCCAACGACACCACUGAGACACGGGGUGUACAUCUACGGAUGGCUGCAGUCGAGAAUAUUCGACAAUGGACGAAAGUCUGAUCGAGCGACGCCGCGUGCAGGAAGAAGGCCUUCGGGUUGUAAACUGCUUUUGCGUGGGAAGAAUUUUGACGGUACCACGAGAAUAAGGGGUUGCUAACUCUGUGCCAGCAGCAGCGGUAAUACAGAGACCCCGAGCGUUAUCCGGAAUCAUUGGGCGUAAAGGGCAAGUAGUCGGUUUUUAUAGUCUGAUGUUAAAUCUCAUCGCUCAACGGUGAGGCCGCAUCAGAAACGUAAUUACUCGAGCGGGUCAGGGGCAUGCGGAACGUGUGGUGUAGCGGUGAAAUGCAUUGAUAUCACACGGAACACCAAAAGCGAAGGCAGCAUGCUGGGGCUUUGCUGACGAUCAGUUGCUAAAGCGUGGGGAUCAAAAAGGAUUAGAUACCCUUGUAGUCCACGCCCUAAACGUUGCACAUUAGCUAUUGGGAGCAUCGACCCCCCCAGUGGCGUAGCUAACGCGUUAAAUGUGCCGCCUGGGAAGUACGAGCGCAAGCUUAAAACUCAAAGGAAUAGGCGGGAGUUCGCACAAGCGGUGGAUCAUGUGGUUCAAUUCGACACUGAGCGAAAAACCUCACCAGGGCUUGAAAUCCAGCUGCACGCCAUCCGAAAGGAAGGAAGCCUUCGAGGGUGCUGGACAGGUGCUGCACGGCUAUCGUCAGCUCGUCAUGUGAAUGGUUCCCUUAAGUGGGGAAACGAGCGCAACCCCCGUUGCGCGUUAUAUAUGUCACGCGAGACUGCCCGGGUUGACCGGGGGGAAGGAGGGGAUGACGUUAAGUCAGCGUGGCCCUUUGAUGCCCUGGGCCACACACAUGAUACAAUGGAUGAAACAAUGGGUUGCCAAGCCGCGGGGCGGAGCUAAUCCCAUCAAAUACAUCCUCAAUUCGGAUUGGAGGCUGAAACUUGCCUCCAUGAAGCCGGAAUCGCUGGUAAUCGCAGAUCAGCACGCUGCGGUGAAUACGUUCUCGAACUUUGCACUCACCGCCCGUCAACUCAGGGAAGCCGGGAAUACCCGAAGCACCGUGUUAUUACGUGGUACUACGGUAGGCUCGGUGACAAAGAGU